GGGGCGGUAGCUCAGUUGGUAGAGCGCCAGCUUUGCAAGCUGGAUGUCGCCGGUUCGAGUCCGGUCCGCUCCA
rnacentral:tRNA from 2 species